rfam:Salmonella enterica subsp. enterica serovar Typhimurium str. LT2, complete genome.
UACAUUUCACUCCAGACCCUCGCUAAGCUCCUGAGAAACGCCAGGUAAACGUUUGCCUACACACACCCUAAUCGCAACAUCAGGGUUGCGGCACGCCGGAAAAACGACACGGAACGUCAGGAAGGGGUCAAUGGCCGUUACGCUAAUUCAGUAAGCCUGGAAUUUUGUCUGAUCUUGAGGAAAAGGGGAAGCGUUAAAAACAGUUAUCAAUAUAAAACAUGAGAGAUUUUUGUGCGGGAAUGUGCAAAAAUGCGCUAUAUCACUUUUUGUGUGGGAAUAAAAAGGAGAAAACUUGAUGAGUACCGACCUGAAAUUUUCGUUGAUUACUACGCUGAUUGUUCUGGGCGUGAUUGUCGCAGGUGGAUUAACGGCCGCUCUGCACUGAUUU